rnacentral:rRNA from 1 species
GCAGUAGGGAAUCUUCCACAAUGGGCGAAAGCCUGAUGGAGCAACGCCGCGUGUGUGAUGAAGGGUUUCGGCUCGUAAAACACUGUUGUAAGAGAAGAAUGACAUUGAGAGUAACUGUUCAAUGUGUGACGGUAUCUUACCAGAAAGGAACGGCUAAAUACGUGCCAG